rnacentral:rRNA from 1 species
UGGGGAAUAUUGCACAAUGGGCGCAAGCCUGAUGCAGCCAUGCCGCGUGUAUGAAGAAGGCCUUCGGGUUGUAAAGUACUUUCAGCGGGGAGGAAGGCGAUAAGGUUAACAACCUUGUCGAUUGACGUUACCCGCAGAAGAAGCACCGGCUAACUCCGUGCCAGCAGCCGCGGUAAUACGGAGGGGGCAAGCGUUAAUCGGAAUUACUGGGGGUAAAGCGCACGCAGGCGGUCUGUCAAGUCGGAUGUGAAAUCCCCGGGCUCAACCUGGGAACUGCAUUCGAAACUGGCAGGCUAGAGUCUUGUAGAGGGGGGUAGAAUUCCAGGUGUAGCGGUGAAAUGCGUAGAGAUCUGGAGGAAUACCGGUGGCGAAGGCGGCCCCCUGGACAAAGACUGACGCUCAGGUGCGAAAGCGUGGGGAGCAAACA